CAUAUCCUUCUCAUAUCCCACAGAGCAGGAAGAUCCCCUCAAAGCUCAGGCCUGAGUGAGUCCCAAAAAAACAUCCUGAAACCAUUUUCUGAAUGAUGGGGGAGGGGUCAGUGUUUUGUGAAUGGAGGAUGAGACACAGGCUCCUCAAAUGCUCCUAGCUUCAUAGCUGCCCAUUCCUGACACACAGCCUGUCAGAACUUCAGCCGUGUGUUGAGAACCUGGACCAAUUGGAGGAUGGGCUGCACCUGUGGGGCUGGCCCGACCCUGCUAGUCCUCCCCAGAGACCACCCCUCUGUGGAGUCCCCUGGCCUUCAGAGCAAAGCACAGUUGGCCCCUCAGUCCCUGCUGCGCAGGAGGGGUGUGCUCCGGGCUCAGGUGGUCUCCUGCCCAAGUCCCCAAGCCCUGUGUACUGUGUCCCCUGUCAAUGUGUUUGUGGACAUGAGCACCUGUCAGCACUGUGUAGCUGUGUCUGUUUUGUGCUGGUCUGUUGUCUUCUAUGACUAUCCACAAAUAAAUAUUUUCAUUGC
rnacentral:lncRNA from 1 species